UACGUAGGGUGCAAGCGUUAAUCGGAAUUACUGGGCGUAAAGCGUACGCAGGCGGCUUUGCAAGACAGGUGUGAAAUCCCCGGGCUUAACCUGGGAACUGCGUUUCUAACUGGCAGGCUUGAGUGUGGCAGAGGGGGGUGGAAUUCCACGUGUAGCAGUGAAAUGCGUAGAGAUGUGGAGGAACACCGAUGGCGAAGGCAGCCCCCUGGGCUAACACUGACGCUCAUGCACGAAAGCGUGGGGAGCAAACAGG
rnacentral:rRNA from 1 species